rnacentral:snRNA from 1 species
AUAAGAGGCCUGUCCAGCUGUGAGGCCUGUCCAGCUGUGAUAGCUGUCACCACUUGGAUCACCAGGAUUGAUGUGGAUCAUCUGCAGGGCUAAGGUUUCCCCUUCCUCGGUGCUCAUGCAUGCCCCUUGCAAGCCGCACUCAACUGAAGAAGACAAACUUUCCUAAUAGGAAGGGACCACUCUUGGGUCAAGGGCACAUGAAGAUCUGAGUUCUCCUGCCAGAACCUCUAAAGAAGUACUCAAGGUAAGUGCCCUACUAUUGAGUUAAAGCUAUAACCCUCUAGAAUAGGGUUUAUAAACCAGUGUUUUCUGCAUUUUG